UAGGGAGGCAGCCCUGCAGUUGAUGGAACAGGAGCAGGCUUACAUGACAUGCUAUAGCCAGAAGAUGCAAUUGCAGCUAUGAAACAGUUCUGCAGCUGUGAAACAGGCAAAAGGGAUCUCAAAAAGGCAGAGCAAUAUGAAAGGAAAGCUUUUGCCCAGAGAAGCUGCUUGUAACCUCUCUGCAGCCAGAAUAUAGCUAAUAAAUAAUUCUAUGUCACCACCUACUGGUAAACCUCCUUGUGUGGCACUUGUGUGUUGUGUUCUACAGCAGCCACUGAAUUCGAAUCUUUUUCCUUUUCCAUUGGGUCUACACAUGAACACAGGAAUCAUUCUCUGAGAGCAUCCCUGGUGGAUUUCUGAAAGCCUGUUGCCUAGGCAAAGAUCAGAGAUCUACCUCUUACAGCCUCGCUUUGCAGUUGAAAAGACAAACUACAACUAGAAAGAAAAAUGAAAACAGAAAAACAAGAAGAACAUGGUAAUGUAGGAAGAAGAAACUGAAGGAUGAGGGGUAGGUAGAUGUUGCAAAGAACAGGAAGGUAAGGACAAAACAGAAGGUAAAAGACAAGCAUUUAAACAGCUAGUAAGUUUACAAAUGGGGACAAUUUAUUGCUUUUCUUAACAAACAGACAAACACUGGUUUGAAUGUUAGUUAUACAGCUUACGACUGAUCUCAUACGUUGAACAGGUUUGGUGUGGUCUGAAAUGCACUGGCAGACUGCCAAAAACCACUCCUGAGCUACAGGAAGCAUUUGACUUGCUGAGUCAGCGUGGAGGCAGCUCCCCAGAAAAGUAAGGGCACUGUGCCAACACCAACACAUGCUUUGCAUGAGCCAUCUUCUGAUUGCUCACAGCAAUUCAAGUUCCCAUGACAGUCUCCCCCAAAAUUUUUGGCUCGGUCAAAAGACUUCCAGUGGUGACAAAUAUAAAAGGGAAAUUCUAAUUAUAACUGUUCAGUGGUGGUAAUUUCUGACUGAGGAAUGAUCUGGUGUGGAGGGCAAGGAGGGGUUAAACCAUCUGAAAGCAGGAAUGCCAGAAACAGAACAGACUCCUUCCAAGGAAGUGAAGUUUCCCUUGGCGAUAAGAAACAGUGUCAGUUUUGUCUUGCAGCCAUUCUGGAKUGAGGGUGCUCAGAGAGCCAAGCUCAUGGCAAACUCUGGGCAGCAGAGCUGGKUGAGGGAUGGAUCCACAGAUUCAGRU